rnacentral:rRNA from 1 species
UACAGAGGGUGCGAGCGUUAAUCGGAAUUACUGGGCGUAAAGCGCACGUAGGUGGCGACGUAAGUCGGGUGUGAAAGCCCCGGGCUCAACCUGGGAAUUGCAUUCGAGACUGCAUUGCUGGAGUACGGAAGAGGAGGGCGGAAUUCCCGGUGUAGCGGUGAAAUGCGCAGAUAUCAGGAGGAACACCGACGGCGAAGGCAGCACUCUGGGCCGGUACUGACGCUGAGGAGCGAAAGCGUGGGGAGCAAACAGG